rnacentral:rRNA from 1 species
AUGCCCCGGGACUGGGGCGAUGCCAAGCCCCGCCCGAAGCGGCGUGUGGAUGACCGCCGGGAUCCUCCGCGCUCCUCCCCCGACGGCCUCCGGCAGGAGGCUGACCUCCGGAGCCAGCUCACCUCCCGCCCGGCUCGCCGUUCCCCUGCUCGCGACUCCCGCGACCCCCGCCGCUCCCCGGCGCGGGAUGACCGCCGUUCACACUCGCCAGCCCGUCGGGAUCCGCCUCGGGAGGACUCUCGGGACCGGGCCAACUCGCCUGCCCGGCGCUCCCCUGCCCGAGGCCGGUCACCGACCCGGCGCUCGCCGGCCCGUGACGGUCGUGGUUCCCGCCGGCCUUCCCCUCCGCGUCAGGCUCCUCCCGCCUCCGGGUCCACCGCCCCUGAGAACCGGCAUUACCAGCCCCCGCGCGCCCAAGCCGCUUUUCCGCCAUCUAACGGUGGCAACGGGAACCGUGGGCGCCCGGGCACUAAGAAGAAGAAGAAGAAGGGGCCGCCUCGCCCUCCACCUGCUGCCUCCUCCGUUGCCGUGGUGACCCCGGCCUCGGGUGUCGUCGCCGCCCCCGAGGGUCCGCCGUGCUUCAACUGCGGCCUGCCCGACCACUUCCAGGUGGCUUGCCCCAACCCACCGACCUGCUACCUCUGCAAGGAAGCCGGGCACCCUGCGGUUCUUUGUCCGGAGCGCCCGGUCACGGAGGAGAUCAUGAUGUACGGCCACGGCAUCGAGGACAUGGGCUUCUUCCACAUUGAGGUGCCGAAGCUCCCGCCUCCCUCCCCCUCGCUCCUGGCCCUUGUGACGGUCGUGGGGGAGGGCGUCGCCACUCUAGAGCUGAUCGAGGCCGAGCUCAACCACCUCUGCCGAUGCAAGUGGGAUUGGCAGGUGACCUCCACCGCGCCCAACGCCUUCUCGGUGAUCUUCCCCGACGCCCUGAGCAUGGGCCUCUGCACCUGUAGCGACAGCAUCACCUUGGCCCUCAACGGGAUUGUGGUGAACAUCUCCGAGACGAGGUGGGAUCCCAAGGCCGUGGCGGUCCUCGACACUACUUGGCUCCUCAUCGCCGGCCUCCCAGACGUGGCCCGGUCUGAGCGGGUCAUUCGCAGUAUGUCCAAGAUCCUGGGCAAGGUGGUGGUGGUCGACGAGCUCUCUCUGCGCAAGGAGGAGGAGGUCCGGGUCAAGGUGAAAUGCCUGGACGCCUCCAAGCUCCACACCACGCUUCGGGUCUUCUUCAACGACGACGGAUACGACCUCACCAUCUACCCCGAGCCACCGAACCACAUCGGCCGCCCCUGCCUCUUCGCUGACAGCCUCCAGGGGGGGCCCGCGGAUGCCGAUGGCUCCCACCACCGGCGCCCCCGCCACUCCCGCUUCGACGACCACGAGGAGGACGACGACAUCUCUGAGCACUCCCGCUCCCCGUCUCGUGAGCCCGCCAACCCCCCCUGGGGUCGCGGCGGCUCCGGGCAGGGCCGCACUCGAGUGUCUGCCGCUGACCUCGCGGUGGCUCUUCAGCUGGUCGCACCCCCAGUGGCGCCCUCUCCCCUGCCUCGGAGUCGGCCAGUGACAUCUUGA